rnacentral:rRNA from 1 species
GCUAUACAUGCAAGUCGAGCGGACAGAAGGGAGCUUGCUCCCGGAUGUUAGCGGCGGACGGGUGAGUAACACGUGGGUAACCUGCCUGUAAGACUGGGAUAACUCCGGGAAACCGGAGCUAAUACCGGAUAGUUCCUUGAACCGCAUGGUUCAAGGAUGAAAGACGGUUUCGGCUGUCACUUACAGAUGGACCCGCGGCGCAUUAGCUAGUUGGUGAGGUAACGGCUCACCAAGGCGACGAUGCGUAGCCGACCUGAGAGGGUGAUCGGCCACACUGGGACUGAGACACGGCCCAGACUCCUACGGGAGGCAGCAGUAGGGAAUCUUCCGCAAUGGACGAAAGUCUGACGGAGCAACGCCGCGUGAGUGAUGAAGGUUUUCGGAUCGUAAAGCUCUGUUGUUAGGGAAGAACAAGUGCAAGAGUAACUGCUUGCACCUUGACGGUACCUAACCAGAAAGCCACGGCUAACUACGUGCCAGCAGCCGCGGUAAUACGUAGGUGGCAAGCGUUGUCCGGAAUUAUUGGGCGUAAAGGGCUCGCAGGCGGUUUCUUAAGUCUGAUGUGAAAGCCCCCGGCUCAACCGGGGAGGGUCAUUGGAAACUGGGAAACUUGAGUGCAGAAGAGGAGAGUGGAAUUCCACGUGUAGCGGUGAAAUGCGUAGAGAUGUGGAGGAACACCAGUGGCGAAGGCGACUCUCUGGUCUGUAAC